GAAAUAUGAAAAAUCAGAAAAAAGCUUCUAACUUAUUUUCUAAGCGAUGAAACUCGUUUAUAUUUCU
rnacentral:tRNA from 1 species